GUGCCAGCAGCCGCGGUAAUACGUAGGGGCCAAGCGUUGUCCGGAUUUAUUGGGCGUAAAGAGCUCGUAGGCGGUUCGAUAAGUCGACGGUGAAAUCUCCACGCUCAACGUGGAGGGGUCCGUUGAGACUGUCGUGACUCGAGUCCGGUAGGGGAGUGUGGAAUUCCCGGUGUAGCGGUGAAAUGCGCAGAGAUCGGGAGGAACACCCGUAGCGAAGGCGGCACUCUGGGCCGGUACUGACGCUGAGGAGCGAAAGCGUGGGGAGCAAACAGGAUUAGAAACCCGGGUAGUCC
rnacentral:rRNA from 1 species